GCCUACGGCCAUACCUGUCUGAAAGUGUCUGAUCUCGUCAGAUCUCAGAAGUCAUGCAGAGUUGGGCCUGCUUAGUACUUGUUUUGGAGUGUGAUGGGCAAUUGUAGGUA